rnacentral:rRNA from 1 species
AAAACGGAGAGUUUGAUCCUGGCUCAGGAUGAACGCUGGCGGCGUGCUUAACACAUGCAAGUCGAACGAACCUUCGGGUUAGUGGCGGACGGGUGAGUAACGCGUGAGAAUCUGCUCUCAGGAGGGGGAUAACAGUUGGAAACGACUGCUAAUACCCCAUAUGCCGAGAGGUGAAAUGAAUUUCGCCUGGGGAUGAGCUCGCGUCUGAUUAGCUUGUUGGUGGGGUAACGGCUUACCAAGGCUUCGAUCAGUAGCUGGUCUGAGAGGACGAUCAGCCACACUGGGACUGAGACACGGCCCAGAC